UCCGGAGGGUGCAAGCGUUGCUCGGAAUCAUUGGGCGUAAAGCGCGCGUAGGCGGUUCCUCAAGUCGGAUGUGAAAGCCCUCGGCUUAACUGAGGAAGUGCACCCGAAACUGAGUAGCUAGAGUACUAAAGAGGGUCGCGGAAUUCCCGGUGUAGAGGUGAAAUUCGUAGAUAUCGGGAGGAACACCAGUGGCGAAGGCGGCGAUCUGGGAAGAUACUGACGCUGAGGUGCGAAAGCGUGGGGAGCAAACAGG
rnacentral:rRNA from 1 species